GGGUCCUUAGCUCAGUUGGUAGAGCGCCUGCUUUGCAAGCAGGAUGUCGGGAGUUCGAUUCUCCCAGGAUCCA
rnacentral:tRNA from 4 species